AGCGAACGUUUGCGGCGGGCCUAACACAUGCAAGUCGAACGCACUAGCAAUAGUGAGUGGCGCACGGGUGCGUAACACGUGGGUAAUCAACCCUUCAGCUUGGGAUAACGACUUGAAAGGGUCGCUAAUACCGGAUACGGCGCGGGAGGCUUCGGCUUCUCACGAGAAAGCCUCGCAAGGGGUACUGAAGGACGAGCCUGCGGCCCAUCAGCUAGUUGGUGAGGUAAGAGCUCACCAAGGCGAAGACGGGUAGCUGGUCUGAGAGGAUGAUCAGCCACACUGGAACUGAGACACGGUCCAGACUCCUACGGGAGGCAGCAGUGGGGAAUAUUGCGCAAUGGGCGAAAGCCUGACGCAGCGACGCCGCGUGGGCGAAGAAGGCCUC
rnacentral:rRNA from 1 species